AAACUUUGCAUUUCCCUUCUAGGCUCAUAUAUCUGCCAAUUGCUGAGAGCCUACUGACAACAAUUCCCAGCAAGUUUUUAUUCAUCUGGAUGUCUGACAGUAAUAAAGCAACAAUACGAAGAGAGGCUUGUGCAUUAGCAAUUGCUGAUUCACACCUGUGGUUGGCAAAACUAUCCUGGACACACCCACCUUAACAGCUGCAGGUUUGUUGAUGACCUACACAGAGAGUGUCCCUGCUAGUUCUCCUGGACCUUUCAGUGGCUUUUGAUACCAUCAACCAUGGCAUUCUUCUGGGUCACCUUUCUGGGAUGCAGUUUGAAGGUACUGUUCUUCAGUGGUUCUGUUCCUUCCUGAAGGGAUGUUCUCUGAAGGUGGCUCUGUUAUAUGGACCUGUUAAAUGGAACUGUUAUUUGGCAUCCCACAAGGUGACAUUCUAUUCCCCAAUGCUUUUUAAUAUUUACAUGAAAUCUCUGGGAGAGAUUAUCCAUAGGCAUGGGGUGGGGUGUUAUCAGUAUGUUGAUGACACCCAAAUAUAUUUCUCUAUGUCUUCCCAAACAUCCUCAGCUAAGAAUAGCAUGUCUCCUCUGAAUGAAUGCCUUGAGAAGGUAAUAGGCUGGAUGAGGAAAAACAAAUUGAAACUGAAUCUAGACAAUAGAGGUGCUUGCCAUCAAGAAUCCUAAUCUGGGAAUGGAGGUAUGUCAACCAGUUCUGGAUGGGGAUACAUCCCCCUGAAAGACUGUGUUUGCAGCUUGGGAGUGCUCCUAGAUCUGUCUCUCCAAAUGUCAGCUCAGGUAGAUGCAACAGUCGGGAGUGCUUACUAUCAGCUUUGACUGCUAUACCAACUGUGCCCCUUCCUAGAUUUGGAGGACCUGAAGAUGAUAGUGUAUAGAAUCACAGAAUCAUAGAAUCGUAGAGUUGGAAGAGACCUCAUGGGCCAUCCAGUCCAACCCCCUGCAAGAAGCAGGAAAAUCUAAUUCAAAGUACCCCCGACAGAUGGCCAUCCAGCCCCUGCUUAAAAGCCUCCAAAGAAGGAGCCUCCACCACACUCCAGGGCAGAGAGUUCCACUGCCAAACAGCUCUCACAGUGAGGAAGUUCUUCCUGAUGUUCAGGUGGAAUCUCCUUUCCUCAAGUUUGAAGCCAUUGUUCUGCAUCCUAGUCUCCAGGACAGCAGCAAACAAGCUUGCUCCCUCCUCCCUAUGACUUCCCCUCACAUAUUUGUAUAUGGCUAUCAUGUCUCCUCUCAGCCUUCUCUUCUGCAGGCUAAACAUACCCAGCUCUUUAAGCCGCUCCUCAUAGGGUUUGUUCUCCAGACCCUUGACUCCAACUAGUUCAAAAUAUGGCAUCCAGAUUGGUUACAGGAAUGUCUAGGAAUUAGCAUCCUAAAAUCACUCCACUGGUUGCCAAUUAGUUUCUGGGAAAUUUACCAAGUAUUGCUUUUGAACUUUAAAGCCCUACAUGGUUUGGGUCCAGAUUACCUGCAGGAUCGCCUUCUCCUAUACAAUCUGCCCCAUACAGACUUAGUUCAUCUGGUGGAUGGCUACUCCAACCAAUCAGAACCCAACUGGCAAUUGUCACCCAGAGGACCUUUUCAUCAGCUGCCCCAAGACUGUGAAACUACCUGCCAGAAGGGCUACGACAGCUAGAACAUCUGUCCAAAUUUAAAAACCAUCUAAAGACCUAUCUCUUCCAGCAGCUUACUCAUCUAGUUUUAAGCAUGAAUUUUAAACUUAUGUCUUGUGUUUAAUCUGUGUUCUGUGUAUUUUAAUAUGUUUUUAUAGAAAUACAUUUAAAUAUGUAUCAUUUAUAGAAAUACAUUUUCAUAUGUAAUUAUGCUGUAACCUGCCUUGAGCCACAAGGAGUGAUGGGUAAGAAAUAGAUGAUGAUGAUGAUGAUGAUGAUGAUGAUGAUGAUGAUGAUUAAAAUAUGUAUACUUUGAUUUGCAUAACACAUAUGUUCAUAUCAGAGAAGGUAUGUGGAAAAAUUAUUCUUCCAAAGCUGGCACAGAGCUAAGUGUGCCUUUGCUCCUUUCAAGGGAUAUGUUUCAGACCUACUAAAUCUGCCAGAUUGCAGCCAUUAAAUCUCUUAGGGAGAAAUAAAAGAGUUAGGCAGGAAAAAAUGUUGUACAGUCUUUGUAAUCUAAGUACAUUAAGACAUAGUUAAGAUACUAUGAAGCAGGUAAUGCUAUUUCUAAAUUUUAAAAACUGUCUGCUUACCCUUAGUCAUUGCUUAUUAUUUAUUGGUAUUUUUAACACUAUUAAAUGAAUCUUGUUUAAGAGCCUGCCAGAUGCCAUUACUAUCAUUUGCUAAAGCAACACCAUUAUUUGCUUUUGUUCUAAUGUCAUCUUAUACUGCAUACUUCUACAUCUGCUCCAAUUGUCCUAGAAUUUGCUGCUCCAGUGUCUAAUCUGACAAUCAGUUUAUUGCUGAGUAUAUUUAUAAUACUGCAAUUACUACAGACCUCUGCAGAGUCUUUAAUAUGAGUUGAUUUCUGUAUUAUGAAAAAUAUAAAAGGGCAGUUUUCUUUUAGAGUCUAAUAGUGAGACAAACAUGAGGUGAAAUUAGAAGAGAGUCUGUCUAAAUUCAUUUCUCUUGAAAUAAAGCUGGGUAUUUGGCAUUGUUUCUAACAAUGUUAUUGUCAUGUAGCUAUAAAGAUUAAGCUGCCAAAUUUAAUUCUCCUCUCUACUCUAAAUCAUUUCCAUGUUCAUGUGAUAAUGUCAACAGUUGUAUUUUAUAUAACUAUUCCGUUGUAGUAAAGGCUCAAAUAACAACAUAGAGAACGAAAUAUGCAUUCUUCUCCUACCAGUGACAACUUGGAACACCCUAAUAAUAAUAGAUUGUGGAACUCCAUUCCACAAGAAGCUAGUCUGGUCCCAUUUCUGCCAGAAGGCAAAGGCUUUUUCCUCCACAGACAAGCUCAUGACCACUAACUAUCUGCUGCAGAUGGGAUUUCUAAUUGGUGAUGAGGCUGUAGUUACCAACCCCAUUUCUUUAGGAUUCCCUCAUUUCAAACCAUGGUUAAUCUUUGCUGUAGUCCUUUAAACCCUUCUUGAAGUGCAGAACCCAGAACAAUAUUCAAAGAUGUUACUGGACUACAAUUCCCAACAGCCCUAGCCAGCCUAGGCAAAGAUCAAUGGUAAAGAAGUUUACCAUUGAGAGUUUACAGUUACAUUUUGUGGGACACAGUAAAACUAUGAAGCUAUGGACACAUGGUGAGUCAAUAUACAAGUUAUUCUCAUUGACCAACUAGUUGAGCCACUCUAAUUGGAAAUAACAAUAUGAUCAAAGAUACAGGCUGGAAUGCUGUUGGGUAAUGCCAAAUAAAUUACACCAAUCGAUUGAUGACCUAACUUGUAGUUAUUUAAUUCAUGCAGAUUCAAUGACUUUACUCAGGUCACAAAUAAUUUUAGUAUAUAAGUCAUAAUAUUUAAUAAGUCCAUUUUUAAAAACCAUAUGAUUAUGGAUAGAAAAAUACAUCAGUUUUACUUUCCCUCACAUUCAGUAUUCUCUAUAUGCCUCUCACAUUUGUUCUCUUGAAUGGAUGAAGACAUUUGUGGAAAUUGGUAGAUUCUUACUGAAAAGCAAUUUGACACAUUUUGAUAGAGAUGGCCAUUUCCAUUUAGGACUAGAGUACAGUGUUAUUUUACCUAAAUACCAUAUAGCUAUCAUAUGAAAAGACUCAGAAAAAGAUAUGGUCUAAUUCAACACCAUAAAUGUUGGUCAUUUCAUAUACUCAUUGCAAGAUAUGAUUUGAGGGAGGAUGAUUUCCAUCAUAAAAAUGUUAGAUAUUUAAAAAACCAUUGAGCAGAUUUCCAACAGCAUUUUAUAUCCAGGCCCUAAACUGCCAAGAAUGGGAUGACUGAAACAGUACUUCACAGUUCAUAAAACCUGAGCCAUCCAGGUGUGUGGUCCAAAGGUUUUUAAAUUAAUUUCUGCAGCAGACAGAAAGUUCUUCCAGUUUUUCUUUGGAAGGCCCACAGAAUUUGUCAAAAAAAAAAGGCAUUUUGAGAAGCACACAGGGAAAGUGGGAAAAAACAUUUUUGUAAGCAAAACAGGAUUUUUAAAGAUGCCUUCCAGUUAAAACUUAUCUGUGCACAAACAAUUGUCUGAGCUUUCAUUUUGUUUGGAAAUGCAACAAACAACUUAGAGUACUUCCACAAUUUGCCACCAGGAGCUCAACCCUUUGAAGGAAACUUGUUUUCUUUGGAUGUAAAACUCAUUUGUGAUGAACAAAUCAGUUUGGAUACUUUUCUAAAUAAAAAAAUUGACCUGAAUUUUCAGGAAAACCUUAAAUGAACUCAAAGCAUGUUUUUAUAAGAUAUGUGAAACUCCAUUUUUUACAUACCUUACACAUUUCUUAUCUAAGGAUAAAUUAUUGAAAUAGUCUUUCAAUUCAAAAAGAACUCCCCCUCCCUUUUGAAGCAAAUACAAUGUGAUCUUAGGCCUAUUAAUACUUAAUGAGUGCAUGGUGAUUUCUCCAAUUUUAUUUAAUCCACUUUCCAUUUUACCAGGUGUGGGGGUGGCUUUAAAGACAACAACAGGCAUCCUUGAUAUCUCCUUAUUGUUAUAAAGGAAAUGUACAGCUAGCAAACUUAGCCACUUCAAUCAAAAAUUGUUUCAGGCUAAGUUGAGAAUAACUAAGAGGCCAGAACCAACGUAUAAUUUGCAUUGAAAUGAGAAAACACUUAUUUCUGAGAGAAUGCUUUGCAUGCUGGGCUGAGAAGAACACGGUGCCAAAAGUACUAUUUAUCAUGUUGACUUGCCCACUUCAGUAUGUGCUUCUGGUGCUGAGUAGUGUACUGCCACUAGCCCAUCUAUUGCCUGAGUUAUAUUUUUGCACACACACACACACACACACUGAUGAAAAUAUUGUGGAUAUGAUUUAGGAAUGCAAAAGGUUAUGCAGAUGCAUGUAAUGUAUCAAACAGUUUAUGUUUUCAAAAGUUUUUUUAAAAAAAAAAAACACCUAGAGAAACUGGUCCUAAUGCAUGCUACUGGCACACAAUAAAGAUAAGAAAAAUACAUAAAUAACUUUAGCAAUGACUAUCAGCUGAGAUCAAGUAGCUAUACUGGUUUGGUUCCAUUCUAUGCUAGCUUAGCUAUGCUGAUCUCAGAACUUUUUGGACUUUAGCACACAAAGUCACUAUCCCAUGGCAUUUGCGGGAUGGUGACUCUUGCAAUCAUACCUCUCUACUCACUGUGCAACUGCAACUGCAAUCCAUUGGUGAUGCAGCUGUACUUCCCAUUAGCAGUGUAACUCUGCCCUUCCACAGUUCCAGUAUUCUGGAACUUUUUGUUCUCAUAAUUUCAUAAAAGCAACUUUGCAAUUCCAGUGAAGUCCGAUUAAAAAAAUAAUCACUAAAUCCCCUGAUAUUACGUCAGUUUCAGCAUGCUGGAUCAGAAACACAUCAGGCCAUCUCACAAGGUAGGUGAUGAGAUCAUGGUGCAAUCUGGGACUAAUAAUAAUAAUAAUAAUAAUAAUAAUAAUAAUAAUAAUAAUUUAAUUUUGUACCCCGCCUCCAUCUAGCCGAAGGGACUCGGGGCAGCUUACAUGGGGCCAAGCCUGAACAACACAGUUUAAAAUGUAAUUACAUAAAAAUGCAAUUCAACAAUGUAGACCGAAUAAAACAACAAAAUUAUAACAAUAUAUAUAAAGGUAUCAACCAGCAACCAAAAUCAGUUUCUCUUAUCAUCAUGGGUGGGUGGACUGGUGCAACAAUAAUUUAAAGUAUAGGCUAAUAAAUAAAGUGCAUAGGUCAUACGGCAGUAAUGAGGAUAAGAGCAGGAAUAAAGUGCAAGGACAGAUUUUUGGUCUCAUCUGGAGCUAACUAUCUAGAAGGAUAGCUAACCAUGAAUUUUCCCAGGGGAAAGCUUUAUUGGGGGAAGUGGCAGACUGGCAACGAGUUGUUCACAGUGUUAUUUCACCGUCAUGCGAUAAAGUUUGAGUAGACCAAGGUAACUGGUGUCUCUUUCUCUCUUUCUUCCGGCCAUUGAUUGGCUGGGAGGAUACACAAAAGGGUCUAGGAAGAUUCAUUGUGGCUUGUUGUGUACAAGUGGUUGACUGCUGAUGAUUCUGCAUGGCAGGUUUGCUACAGCCAGUUGAUCAUAGCUUUAUCCAUAUGGUCUAGUGAGAAUAAUUGUUUCAAUAGGGGUAUAAGGGGAGAAUAAUAAUAAUAACAAUAAUAAUGAUGAAAUAAAAUAAAAUAUGUAUAAUUAGAUAAAAGAUGUGUAGUAGAGGUAUAUGUAGUAUACUUUGUAAUUGAGAAAAACUAAAAACUGAUAAAAAGUGUGCUUAAGGUGUGUCUAAUUUUUAUUUCUUUCAGCAUGGCAAUAUAAACAGGCAGCUAUUUCAGAGAGGAGGGGAUGGGAUUAGGAAGAUGAGGGGCAGAAUUAGAGUUAAAACACACAGCACAUGUUCCCUUGUCCAUUUAUGCCCAGCAAACCCCAUCUGUCAUCACCCAUCUAGGCUAGGAUGCCUAUAAGAGCAAACUUCAGCUCCUUUAUUCCCAGUGAAACCCAACAUCACUUAUGCUGGAGCAAGCCUGUUGCUCUUCACCCUAUUUUGAGGCUGUGAUCCCAGCUGAACCUGCCUUGGGAGAAAGAAGAGUCCCUGUUGAAGUCUAUGGGAGUUUUCUCACAGGGAUGCUUCUCUGGGAUUAGAGAAAAGGUUCAGACCCAUAAGUACUGAUCUGAAAGGGGUGUAGAAAGCAACAAUAUUUCCACCUAUUCCUUCCUUUCUUACCCUUCAUCUCUUUUCACUGCACUGAAAGAGCAGCCUUGGAUUGUUAACUCCAAUAGACACUGAACCAGUCAAACUGAAAUGGUCAAUUGGCCAUUCUGGACCAGCCACACUGAAUUGGCCACAAUGAAUCGGCCAUGAUUAAUUGUUCCAUUUUGUACCCAAGAGCUAUUUUCCUGCCAUGGCGCUUUCCAGGAGAGGGGACGCUGCAUGCUCCUUCUGGCACACGCGCCAUAGGUUCACUACCACUGACCCAGGGUGAGUAAUAAAAUAUAUAAUAUGUGAAGAGUUUUGUCCUAUGGCUAUGCCUAUUGGGUGGAACAAGGUUGUUCCAAAGUUUCUUUUAUAUCCAUGGAAACCAGAGCCACACAAACACAAUAGAUGCAGAUACAAGGUCUAAUCUACCUAUCUAUCUAUCUCUGCUUAUUGUAUGACUGAGAACACUUCUUCUGCAUCCAUGGAUAAAUGUAAACUGAACUUAAUGGAACACAGAUCUGUCUUCCCCAUCACUGUUCAUUAUGCCCAGCCCAUUUCAAUGCUGUCUCCAUGGCUCCAGAAGAUACAGUCCAACAUUGCAAACCUUACCAAUUUAGAAGUCAGUCAGACAGAUAAGUGACAGAUGUCCUACUACUUAGGUCUGCAUAAUGCUAUUGCUGUACAUCUUGCAGUUUAUCAACACAGACUGACACUUUAAAAUGCUCUAAUGUAAUACAAUUAUUCAGUCAAUAUCUAACCAAACCAAGUCACUAACAAUUACAUUAUUUGAAAACGUGAUUAGAAUACAUGGCAUACAGAUGUCAUUUCCAAUUUAUUUUGAUGUAUUACCCUUUAUAAAUGAAAACGAUGCCAAGAUUCAUUAGAAUCUCAAAAUGUCAUGAUCCUAAAUAUGUAGCAUCUCCAUCUUUAUUCCUUUGUGCAGUAUGUAUCCCAGAGCUUAACAAAUUUUACCAUGUUCAAUUACCUUGAGUAUUUCCAUCCAUUAUAAUGAAACACUAUAAUUGUUCUGAAAGCUGUACUUGAGUAGAGGAAACUUUUAAUUUAUGGAGAAGGAGGUUGAAAGUUAUUUUUUAAGUAAGGUCAACUUCCCGCUGCUUUGGAUGUUAGCUUUCGUUCCUUCAUUAAUCUCUCUGUGCUUUCAUAAGGAACAACCAACAUGUCUCAAGAAAUAUGACUUCAGUGCAUUCCUGUUAGAUCUUUGCCAAUAAUUGUAAGAACACUAGAGAAGAAGACAUUUUUUUCUGGAUUUAAUUCUUCACCUCUUCUUGUGUCUUAGACCAUAGCAGAUUUUUUUUUUGCAUUUAUGUUAUUCUUUAUGAGACAUAGGCAACACUCAGUGAUUCAGAAAGAGUGGCAAUAGAGCUAUAAAGAACUACCAGUCUAUGUUGCAGGCCUAUAGACUAAUUAUUUCUUCCUAAGGUAAGUUUUGCAUUAUGGCUAGGAUCCUAGAUUUGUUCCUUUCUUGAUUUAUCCCAGGGGACAAAACUUGGUGAAUUACAACUGCUGGGCUCCAUGGACCUGGUUUUUCACAUAUACAAAAUUGCGGAGGGAGGGGAUGCCCACAGAUAGCCAAGGGCACCUCCCUUGAACCUCUUAAGGGCAUUUUGCCAUAUUUUCUGACAACUCUCCAAUCUUCUUUUAGCUCUCUAGAAGCAUUUCCUUCAUCCAGCACCAGUUCAUCAGACAAGGAUGUGAUCAGGCCUACUUUUCCUGCCACUUCAUGCUUUGAAUAAAGGCUUGCAUAAAGUGAAAGAACACCUGCAAAGGUCUGGCAAAAGUGAUAAGACUCCGAAGUACUCCACAGUGGCAAAAUAGGCAAUGAAUUGUUUAGGGCUUUCAAAAGUGCUACUGGAUAUUUCAGGACAAUUUUUGCUUUCCUUCUUAAUUUUGGGAUUGAUAAGAGAGACAGAAAGGGUGGUAGUUGUGGGUUCAUGUUUACAGGGUCCUAUAGGAGAGCAAUGCACCCACACCCCUGACAAGUGCCCAUUGAUAGUCUAUACCAUUGACUUUAUAUUGCAUGUGCUUUAUAUUGCAGCAAAUUGGAUGGAUUUCAUAACAGCCCAAUCCCUUAAGCUACAAGAUGUAAUGCAUAAAGAAUGACUAAUACAUAUAUCUAUGCAUACAUAUAAAUCAUAGAGUGGUGCAGAUGUUUUCUCUUUGUAGACUUCCCUGGUGCUUAAGUAUAGAUGAGACGAGGAUUUUUAUAUGUUUCCCCCCCUCUGCACCACAGAGAACAAUAUUAAGCUAUGCACAUAUCAGGGCCAGUCUAUUAAAACCUUGAAGAGAUCCUGGAUGUCCUCAACAGCCAGGUAAACUUAUGGGUUUACCUAGGGACAAUAGUCAGUGAAGGAAAGUAGUUUACAGUAGAAACAGCACUGCUCUAAAAAGCACUAGGUGGCUGGGACAGCUGCCUUUUUUAUUUCCCAUAUUGAUGCAAAAUAAUUCUACAUUAGGGAUAUUGUGAGAAAUUAAAUUGUUAGUAUUGGCCUAGAAAAAGCCUAGAGAUUAUGGAAAUGUGAUUAACCCCUGGCAGUUUUCUAGGGUUGUCAGGUAUUGAUGCCAGCCCUAAUAAAGAUGGUAGUUUUUUAGCUAUUAGAGAAAGCUUUUAUCAGAACAACUGUAAAUAUAGUCACCAGUCUGUAAUACAGAGAUUCAUCAUAGAAUCAUAGAUCAUAGAAUCAUAGAAUAGUAGAGUUGGAAGAGACCUCAUGGGCCAUUCAGUCCAUCGCCAUCGCCAUCGCCAGUCCAUGGGCCAUCGCAUUGGUGAGCACCCUUUGGGUUCCCAGAUCAUCUCCACAGCAGAGGUGAAAGAAAUGUAAACUAAAGGCAAACCAGGAAUGGGUGAAAAAAUCUGGAUGUUAUUCACUUUACAGUAGUUCAUCUCAAAUAGUACCACUUUCUGCUGCAAAUGUCCCUUUAUGAUAACAUCUGCCUUCAGAAACUCAGAUCCCUUAUGGAUCUGCUGGAUCAAGUUACAGACUGUGUGUCUCAAGUGCUUAAAAUAAAAAAAAAAGAGAGAGAGAAGACAUGCCCAUAAUUUUCUUCUUGUUAAAGGCAAGACUUCUCAGAAAGAUAUAUUCACAUCAACUUCCUUUAUAUGUGCUAUUUCAAACAUUUGCAGCCAGGGACAGUUCAUAAAUCAACAAAUCAGGAAAUAAUUACAACAAGUUAUAAAAUGUUUGGAGGGUUUGUUUUUAAAUAAUGCAUAUUCAUGUUGGGAAAAGGAAGUCACAGCAGAAGAUUAUUUAGUUUUCUCCAUGUUUUUUAAACGUGGAUGUACUAUUGAGCUUCUUCAAUAGUAUCCAUGUUAAAAUGCAUGUUAAAUGAAUUUUUAGGAAAAACCCAUUGAUAUUUUACGUAUCAUCUAGGUACGCAUGUACCUUCAAGUCACCUGUCAGUGUUGACUUAUGGUGACCCCAUGAAUUUCAUAGGGAAAGGUUUAUACCUGAAAUCUGUUCAAAGAUUUCUUCCUUUUCCUGUUUCUGUCCUGUGCUGGUUCCAGAUAGUUUCUUCGAAUACAAAACUAGUAUUUUCAUGCAUAUUUUCAACUGGAUUCAUUAAUGUGCACAUAUCUCUACUGACUGAAGUGUGUUUGAGCAGCUUUUAGAAAUGUGCCGCCCCAGGCUUUGGGCUUUCUCUCUCUAAGAAGGUCAGGGCAACUCUCUUCUAGUGAAUUUCUGCUGCCAUGUGAAAACAUUGUUUUAUUCUGAUAUGCUUUUAGAAACAACUAGCACUUCAAAUAGUGUACUAUUUAUUGAUUUUUAUCUUUUGCCUUGUAAUUUAAUUUGUUUAAAUGGUUUCAAUUCUUGGAUAGUUUAUUUAAACUUUAAGGAUACCUGUGUGCAUUUAUUUAUAGUUGUGUGCUUUUUGAGUCCCAGUUUUGGAGAAAAGCUCAAACAUAAAUGAAUAAUAAUAACAACAAAAAUAUGGAUUUUCCUCACAUUUUUUAAUGUGCACAUGAUGUCAAGACAUUUUUAAAGAAAGCCUAAUUGCACAUUACUAAUCCAAGUAUGUAUACUUUUCAUUGCAGUCAAUAAAUGAUUAUGUGUUCAAUAUGUAAAAAUGUAGAAUGAAAUAAAUUAAAGCAAACAAAUGCUAGAGAACAUUUCUCACAUAUACUUAGUCUACCUAUAAAAUAUGUGUUUUAAAUACAUGUAUCAUGCAUGCCACCUUAAUACUAUGGUUUUAGUUGUUGAUUUUAUCUUAUUCAUGUUUAUUGUAUGCCACUUUAUGGAUUUUUAAAAACUGUAAAGAAGUAUAAAAUGAUAUAAAUAAACAACUGAACUUGUCAGAAAA